UAGCUACCAAAAAUUAUGGUCGCUUUAACUCGUUUUCCUUACAUAAUCUUCAAAAAUGGGUCCCACUUCUUACAUCCAUCGGAUUACCAAUUCUGAGUCAAGUAGCAUUGUCUCACUUGGUUGAGGUUAUUUUCUAGCUCCUUUUCUCAGAUGUUGGCAUGCUUAUCUGCUAUGGAUUCACUGUCGAAAAGGUUGCUAUGCAAGAUUUUGAGGUUAUGGAGCAGGUGAAAGGCAGAGACGUCAUGGAAUCCGAAGAAAAAGGUGGCAAAAGGUUGUUUGGCUAAUUGUGACUCUUGGAAGGUGCAACUACUAGUAAGGAAAAUAUAUAGAGGCCAUCUAGAGCUUAACUUGUUGUGCAAACUUGGGGAAUAUCUCUGAAGAUCACGUCAAACCAAGAACGGAAAGUUUCUAAAAAUGGCUUGCAUGUUGCGCUAUAAAGAAGGCAUGGUGAUCUACCACAAAUCGUUGCAGCAAAUUAAACUAGUUUCAUACUUAAAAGAGCUUGAAUAUGAUCAAUUUUAUUAGUUUUUAUUU